AAAACAGAAAUGAAAAAGAAAGAGAGAAUAUGUACCCGAUUGGUUAAGAAGAAACAGAAACUCUGAAGAAACCCUAAAGGAAGAAGAAGUAGUCUCCCUCUCUCUCUCUCUCUCUCUCGAUCUCUGUCCUCUCUCUUUCUCCCAUCACUUUGCUCAAUCAAAUUUGCGCGGGAAAUCGGACCAACCACUUUCUCCCGUUUUCCUUGCUUCUGGAGAUACAGCUCUUUUAGCUAGAUUGAUUUUCUCCACGAGAUCUGGGGCUUGUCUUACGUGAUACAUAUCGGAGUGAUCAUGCAAAAGCAAUUGAGAGCUGCUCGUUAAAAGAAGAAGAUGGAGCCUGAACGUCUCCAAUUUGGAGGUCCGAGAGAGUUGUGCGGUGCCGUGGAUCUUAUAUCUCAGUACAAACUACUGCAACACCAUGAGUUCUUUUGCAAAAGAUCGCUGUCCGCGUCUCUAUCGGAUUCCCACUAUCUUCAUGACGUGGUUGGGGACGCUGAGAUUAGAAAAGGAGAAGGGAUGCAGUUAGACCAGCUUGUUCAGAAUAAUAAUACGUCACAGAUCCGGGAGAGUAAUACCCGCAUCCAGCCUUUUGAUGUGGAUGAGCUUAAGGAGGCUUUCCAGCUAAAUGAUAUGACUCCUGUUGAAUUGCCUCUAGCAGAGAAGGGAGCUCCUACAAUUCCACCAAAGUCAAAACGUGAGUCGAAAGAUAAGGACAGGAAACAUAAAAAACACAAGGACAGGGAUAAGGACAAAGAUAGAGAGCAUAAGAAGCACAAGCACAGGCAUAAAGACCGAAGCAAAGAUAAAGACAAGGACAAGGACCGAGACAGAAAAAAGGAAAAAAAUGGCCACCAUGAUUCGGGUGAUCACUCUAAGAAACAUCAUGAUAAGAAAAGGAAACAUGAUGGGGAUGAAGAUCUAAAUGACGUUCAUAGGCACAAGAAAAACAAGCAUAGGAGCUCAAAGCUUGAUGAGAUGGGUGCUAUAAGGGUUGGUGGCUAAAAUUGGUAGACAUUCCCAGUUUUUGUAUUCUGGAAUCCUGUAGGUGUCAUGAAAGAGGUUUAGAAGCGGUUUUCAACUCACUGUAGACUACAUAUUAGGUUAAAAAAAUUCAAAAUGGUGAAUUCAUUCGUUGAAGGUGGUGAAAUUUGUGAAGAACUUGUAUUACAUUUGAUUUGGUGGCAGCUUUGUAACAUUUUGAUCUUUGGAGUGUUUUAUUCCAUCUCUUUUCUGUCUAUAAAAUCACAAUACUACUCUCAAUGUUUACUAUUCAUGUAAAAAUAAUUAGUUAUGCAAUUACUGUUUGAAAAAGAACACUAUAAAUCAAUAUAGUUGUAAAAA